GAUUGGAAAGGGUGGGCAAAAAUCUCGCCAACCCGGUCAGGUCCGGAAGGAAGCAGCCGUAACGAAUCAUUUUUGGGUCAUCCUUUCUACUAUCU
rnacentral:SRP_RNA from 1 species